GGAGGAGGUGCGGGCGGGGAGGGAGGGGCCUGAGAAUAGACGCUUGUGAGUGGUGGGCCCGGCCGUGGCCGGGAAGUUCGAUCGGAAGUCUGGGACAAGCCAGGGAACACGCAAAGGCCGGGGAAAGAACUCAGGACGCGUGCGCGUCAGGUGUGACGCAUGCGCAGCGCACCCCAGACCCCGGCCGGCCGCUGUCCAACCAUCCCCCUUAGUACGAAUAGGUUGGAGCACUGAGACUUCCGGUUCCGCAAGGCUCACCUUUCAGGUGAGGUUUAUCUCGGCUCCAGAUCACUGAGAGGGAGACCGUCUCAAAGAGUAAUUGUAUCCUGCGUAGCACAAAAGUCACCGUGUUCUGGGAGGAGGGAGGCGCCGCUCCUUCCUCCAGGUCCCCAGUUCACAGCAAAUUCGAGGAGGAAGUAAGGAGACUCCUGUACACUGGAGCGCCCGCCCGCUGUCCCGUCAGACUGGGCGCUGCGCCCUGCCGGCUGCGACCGACCGUUAGGCCAGGACCCAGGGCUUCCGGCCGCCCUUCGCUGCCCAGUGUGGCCUCGACAGCAGGCCAGGCCUCGCUUCGUUGUUUUGAUUUGCUUUCCCUGGCCUGCGCUCAAGCGUCUUCUCGCGCUUGUGCGCAAGCUGAAAGUCUCCGUGAGGAAGUGAAAGAAGGUUGGAUUUGGGAACCCAUUGAGGACACAAAGAAUCCCCCCAAAAAAGAAAAGAAAGAGAAAGAGUGUUUCAUAACUAAGAACAAAAGAACAAGUUUCAAGGAACUUUCCUCUUUGAAUGAAUACACCCAAGCAAGAAAUUGAGAACUGAGCAUAGUGAACUAAAUAUAGCACUGAAUUUCUGAUUUAGAACAGAUAACACCUAUAUUUUACUGAAUGGUCCGGUUUUCAAAAUAUAAAUAAAUCUUUAACUUCAUGAAUUUAGUAAGUUGGAUUUCCUGCCUUUUUAAAAUUUAGCCUGAGUUCCCCUAGGAAGGCAAAGGCAGUCUCUGAAGUUAUUAGAACCACUGCAAACAACUGCACCAGGGCUCUACUCCUGGAUCUUCCCUAGAGGACACAUUUAGUGAAAACCCCACUUAUAACUUUCCUCCUAUGUGAAGCCGGAAUACCAAACUGACCCUGUUGGAAUUCCAUCCUUUAACUCAGUGAUUUCUCACCUGAGAUUUGCACCAUUUAAUAGCCUUGUAAGUACUUUUGCAAGGCAUUCUUACACUGCAUUUCUAAUCAGGAAAACAUAAAACAAGGUCUGUCCUUAAGCUGUUUUACUUUGCCUUAUAAUGGUCUCCAUUUCCUUUUUUGCAGCAUUUUCUUAAUAAAUUGCUGUUUUAAGGGAUCACUUUCUGCCUGGAAUGUAUGCAAUAGAACAGGCACUGAGGGUUCUUGUUGAGCUUGAGGCCUGGGCCAAACUUACAACCCUACUGCACCCUGCAUUCAUAUCCCACCCUAUCCCUGCAUUUGCUCUUUGUUUCUGAUUUGUGUCUGGCAUAUUUUAGUAAGUUAGACCGGGUGGAUUCUCCUAACAAUAAAGUGUACUUCAGCUAAAUGAGGACUCAAAAAGCAAACGAGAGCACUAUACUCAGCAAAAUCCAUGGAGUAUUUGACUCUGUUGAAGGCAAACAAGCAAAUGAGGAGAAAGGGAGUGAAGGAAAGAAGGGAGGAAGAAAGGAAGGAAGGGAGGGAGGGAGAGGAGAGAGAGAAAGUAAGCAGGCAGUACUCUAAGUCAGGUCACAUUCUUUGAAUUAACAUGUUAAUUAUUCCCGGUGAAAACUACCAUGGUAACUGAUUUAUAGAAGUGUUGGAAUUAGAAUCACUUACCUACAUCCAUCCCUCAAAAUCUAGCAAUAGUUAAAAAAAAAACUUACAUGGUAAUUUGUCUGUAUUUAUUACACUUGGAAGACACUACGCAGAGACAAAUUACAAAACAAGCACAUCAAUGUGGUGUGCAAGUUCCUUCCAGUGACAACAACAAUUCCUAUAAGAAGAGCAGCGUGGACUCAAGCAGCAUGCUCAGGCAAAGGAGUGGCUUUUUGGGAAGCCAGGGCGGGGAAGGGGGUCUUCCUUUCAGAGAUCACUGAGCAUGUCUGGCUGACUCUGGGACAACCCAGGGUUUGCAGUGACACUGUGUACUGGCAAAUAAAUGUCUUUUUAAAAAGUUCUGAAUGGUUUUUGUCAAGUUUUGCCACCCAGAAAUCAAGAAAGCACCUGCCCCUCCAAUUUUUACAGUAUUAGAUUAAUGCCUAUAUUAGAAGACCUCAAAACUGCUUUGUAAUUAUCAAGAACAGACCUCAAAUUCUUUCUUAAAAAUAAAGUUAAUGUCAUGCCCAAAGUCAUGGAGACAUUUAAAAGUGGUGUUUAAAAUAGAAUUUAGACUACUGACUUGAAAUCCCAUGCUCUGACCACCAGACCACACGCCUGCCCAAGAAUACUUAAAAUUUUUACUGAGUUAUUCUUCUUUGUAAUUAGAUGCAGUGACUAGCAUGACUUUUGCAUUAUUCUGCAUUUUUCUUUUAAGUCAGGGUUGUAAGCCACAUAGGGCACUGUCCUUUACAAAACUAAACAAGGGAUUUUCAGUUUUGCAAUACAAUCUCCUGAUAUUUGUUUAUAGGUUUCACACAUCAAAAAACAAUGAAAUCUGUAAUUUUUCAAAUUACAAUCUUCUCAUUCUCUAAGUUAUGUGCCUAUGAGAAUUUGCAAAUCUUUUGAAGAGAAUGUAAUUUUUAUGCUUACAAAAUGUAGGCUUUCAUAUUUGGG
rnacentral:lncRNA from 1 species